GAAUGUGAAGCUUUGUGCAUAGGGUCAUUUUUCAAGUCUAUUAAAUUUUCUUCUUCUGUUAAUGUCAAGCUUGUAUUUUGAUAUUUUGCAAUUUUUAUCAUCAUGUAGAUUUAUAGAUGGAUUGAAUUUUAUAACCAAGAAACAUCCUAUAUUAAAUAUUUUUAAGUCCUUUGCGGCACAUCUGGAAUCACUCAUGGUGCACAGUUUGGCAGAUACUGAUUUAGUGAUUUUGAUAACUAUUUUAGCUAAAUCAGAAACUUUCUAAAAAUUUCUUUUUCUCUAUUCAAAAUUGAACUAUGAAAUUUCUCAAAAAUAUCAUUUAUAGUAAUGAUCUCCAGUAAUAAUUUUUCUGAAAUUAAAAAUCGUCUAGAAAGCAUCAUCAUCCAAUCAUAUUUAAUAUUUCCUGUUGUUAUUUUAAGCUCUGUUAUUGGUUUACCAAAUACAGGCUACUUAUUUUCAAAUAUAAAAGCUAUAUAUUUAAAAGCCUUCUUCUGCUAAAUACUUUAAAG
rnacentral:lncRNA from 1 species